rnacentral:rRNA from 1 species
AGCGAACGCUGGCGGCAGGCCUAACACAUGCAAGUCGAACGAACUCUUCGGAGUUAGUGGCGGACGGGUGAGUAACACGUGGGAACGUGCCUUUAGGUUCGGAAUAACUCAGGGAAACUUGUGCUAAUACCGAAUGUGCCCUUCGGGGGAAAGAUUUAUCGCCUUUAGAGCGGCCCGCGUCUGAUUAGCUAGUUGGUGAGGUAAAGGCUCACCAAGGCGACGAUCAGUAGCUGGUCUGAGAGGAUGAUCAGCCACAUUGGGACUGAAACACGGCCCAAACUCCUACGGGAGGCAGCAGUGGGGAAUCUUGCGCAAUGGGCGAAAGCCUGACGCAGCCAUGCCGCGUGAAUGAUGAAGGUCUUAGGAUUGUAAAAUUCUUUCACCGGGGACGAUAAUGACGGUACCCGGAGAAGAAGCCCCGGCUAACUUCGUG